UUGUCCUUGAAAGGUAGCAUUGGAACAGUGAUAGGAUGCUGGGCUUAGAAUGAGAAAUAUUGGGGUUCAACACUCAUCCCUGAUUCACUGAUAGGUAAAUUGUUAGAAGGCUCUUUAGAGACUUCUACCCCAUCCCAACCCACAAUGUGCUAAGAAUCCCUAAUGAUGACAGCAAAAUACUUGAUAGAAGAAGGCCAAGGAGUCCUGGAAGCUUGUUUGGAGUCCCAAGGCAGACUUCCUCAAAGAGCUACGGCUAUGUCUGGAGGGGAUGACUGAAUACUCCUCACCAGUAUAGGCUAUUUAUACCAGAUUAGAAGAAGAGGAACAGUGGUUUCUCAUUCAGCUGGGCAAGCACAGAGGUGCUGCUUCUCAAGAAGAAUCUACCUUUUCCUCUCCAUCAGUCCCAAUCCAGCCAGUCUUAGCUGAUGGAGACCAAACCCAGGAGGAUCCCCUGGGCUCUCAGUGAGGCACCAAUGAACAAACCAACAAGCUAAAGAGGCAAAGAUUCAACCAGAACCCAAAGAUCCUGGCCCUAUUCAUCUAGGAUAUAUUCCAAUGACCUCUAACUUUUACUUGGAAGAUUCCCAUUGAAGACCAAAAUAGAUAGUUAAGUCAUCUUUUUAACUAUCCCCUGCAAGAUGAAGUUAUCUUUAGUAUACUUUCAAGGACCUGAACUUGGACACUGGGCUUCAGAAGCACAAUCUGUAUCGUGAGGAACUUCUGAUAAUUACAAAUUAUCUUCCCUAACAGAAUUUAAGCUUCUUGAGGGCAGACACCAUUUCAUUGUUAUCUUUGUAACUCCUAUGUCCAACACAAUAGCCUGGCAUAAAAUAAGUGCUCGAUAAGUGCUGAUUGAUGGGGUGAUGUUACCUAGAGACCUAGUCUGGAUCCUGCCUUAGUGUUGAUACCAUCUCCAUCCCCAUUUGCCCAGUUUCGUGUCUUUGCUCCAUUCCAAUUUAUUUCCUAUUCUGA